rnacentral:rRNA from 1 species
GUGGAUUAGAUACCCUGGUAGUCCAUGCCGUAAACGGUGGGCGCUAGGUGUGGGUCUCAUUCCACGAGAUCCGUGCCGCAGCUAACGCAUUAAGCGCCCCGCCUGGGGAGUACGGCCGCAAGGCUAAAACUCAAAGGAAUUGACGGGGGCCCGCACAAGCGGCGGAGCAUGUGGAUUAAUUCGAUGCAACGCGAAGAACCUUACCAAGGCUUGACAUAUACCGGAAACACCCAGAGAUGGGUGCCCCGCAAGGUCGGUAUACAGGUGGUGCACGGCCGUCGUCAACU